rnacentral:lncRNA from 1 species
GUUCCUCCAGACUAUAUGAGCAUUGUUCCCACUAAACAAAGCCACAAGACGAAUUAUGCCAGGCUAGCACACAAGGCGAGUUCCGCUAGACCAUACGGGUGUUGGUCCCACUAAACAAAGCCACAAGGUGGAUUCCGCCAGGCCAGGUCUCAAGGUGGGUUCCGCCAGGCCAUACGAGCAUUAGUCCCACUACACAAGGCCAUAAGGUGGAUUUUGUCAGGCCAAGUCACAAGACGAGUUCUGUGAGACCGUACGGG